GGGGUUACGGCUGCUACUCUUGGCUCCUUACUCCAUUGUCCCAACCUGAUUCUCCUGCUGAACACAGUUACAAUCAUGCACAUAAGGCUACGCGGAAUGUGAUAGAAAGAUGUUUUGGUGUGCUGAAGUCACGGUUUCGGUGUCUGGAUAAAUCUGCAGGCCUUUUGUUGUAUAGUCCCUCAAAGAUAACUGAGGGGAUCGGGGCUCAUCACUCUGCGAACUCGCCAAUAGUGCCAGUGGUGGCUGGGGUGACACUGCCGAAAGUCGUCGCCUGGGUGGGGAUGAUGGAGCCGCAGAUUCCGAGCCAAGACGCCGUGUCUUACUUGGCCUCCUGGAAUAUGUGACUACACUGAAGUCUUACCUGCAAUCCCAGCCUCAUCCUGACUUGUCUGAGGCCUGUCUGGCCGGCUGGUCUGUGGGACUGUUGAAAAAGUGUACCAAACAUUAUUACCAUGCUUUGUGUAAAAAAUACCCCUGCAAAGCCUUAUUGUACUGUAACCAUCUAUUAGGUAUUGGAUAAACAAAUAAUUUCUGAUUAA